AGAAUUGAUCUGGUCAGAACGAACGCUGGCGGCAGGCUUAACACAUGCAAGUCGAACGCUGUAGCAAUACAGAGUGGCAGACGGGUGAGUAACGCGUGGGAACGUGCCCUUCGGUUCGGAAUAACUCAGGGAAACUUGAGCUAAUACCGGAUACGUGCGAGAGCAGAAAGAUUUAUCGCCGAAGGAUCGGCCCGCGUCCGAUUAGCUAGUUGGUGAGGUAACGGCUCACCAAGGCGACGAUCGGUAGCUGGUCCUGAGAGGAUGAUCAGCCACACUGGGACUGAGACACGGCCCAGACUCCUACGGGAGGCAGCAGUGGGGAAUAUUGGACAAUGGGCGAAAGCCUGAUCCAAGCCAUGCCGCGUGAGUGAUGAAGGCCCUAGGGUUGUAAAGCUCUUUCGCCUAGGACGAUAAUGACGGUACCUGGAUAAGAAGCCCCGGCUAACUUCGUGCCAGCAGCAGC
rnacentral:rRNA from 1 species